rnacentral:lncRNA from 10 species
UGUUAGACUAACUUUUCAAGACUAUUGGUAUAAUGAACAGCCUUGGAAGGUGACAGUGUCUACCUCCAAAGCAAAGGGCAGUUCUGUUUGCUCUUCAAUAUAAUAAAGUUAAUGUCUCUCUCGAAGGCAAAGGUUGGGCAGAUUCUUUGUAGUCCUUUAUAAAAGACAAGUUUCUUAUGCUUGGUGUUCCCCAGCUGUCAUGCAAAUGCACUGCAUGUGCUACAUUCGUGGGACCUAUUGCAAGCUGCCUCCCCUCCUCUGUGGACUUCAGGAGAAUGAGAAAAUGCCUGUGACAAGGAUAGACACAGAAACCUAGGGUUGACAAACACAGAAGGAUUAUGACUGGACGAUAUAAGAUAAGGGAGACUGGAGGAGAAGAAUUUCAAUAGGAUCACAUAAUUGCCAGAAGAAAGCUUGGUUGAGUCAUCAGGAAACUGAGACAAGAAUAUGGGUAAACAGAGAUAAGUUUAGUAAAGCAAAAUGGCUUUUACUGUAUUUUUUAUUUUUAUUUUUUAUUUUAAAUGGAGUAUUGCUCUGUUGCCCAGGCUAGAGUGCAGUGGUGUAAUCUCGGUUCAC